rnacentral:rRNA from 1 species
UACGGAGGGGGCUAGCGUUGUUCGGAAUUACUGGGCGUAAAGCGCGCGUAGGCGGACCUGCAAGUCGGGGGUGAAAGCCCGAGGCUCAACCCCGGAACUGCCUUCGAUACUGCGGGUCUCGAGUCCGGGAGAGGUGAGUGGAAUUCCUAGUGUAGAGGUGAAAUUCGUAGAUAUUCGCAAGAACACCAGUGGCGAAGGCGGCUCACUGGCCCGGUACUGACGCUGAGGUGCGAAAGCGUGGGGAGCAAACAGG